GAGGCAAUCAAGAAGGAGCACGCCGGGGUGCUCGCGACAGCUCAGGCCCGGCUCGACGAGAAGAGCGAGGACGAGGCGGUUCGUCGACGAGGUGGUCGAGCGGAUGCAGCGGAAGCCGGACCCCGAGCCGUCCCCGGAGCCCCCGGCAGAAGAUGGCGCUUUCCGAUGUAUCUUCUUUUUUUUUUUUCCUGCAAGUGUGGCGCUUGGCGCCGUUUGAACAAUUAUUUUUCCAUUAGCUUAUGUAAUUGUUUAACACUUAGUUAAUCAAGCUCUUUAAUUUGCUUAAUUCUUGUUCCCUGUUCCCGGGGCUGCCUCGCGUGGCGGCUCCUUUAGCCUUUGUGUGUUUUGCCUUGUGUUGCCGGGAACUCGCGCGCCUCACCCUUAACCAGACCAGGGACCCGGGACGGACCCGCAGUGCCGACCUGGGGUCAGGCGGUAGCGGGGAGCCACUCCACUUGCGGGGUAACUACUCCAAGCCGUGCCUCCCGGGACGGACCCGGGAAGCCACACGGGGAGCGCACUCCCCCCGCAAGUGUCCUUCUAACACUCUAGCCACGUGCAGGUUCCGGGGCCACACCUGGCGAAGCAGCGUUCAAUUAUAUUCAGUUCUUAGUGGGUU
rnacentral:lncRNA from 1 species